rnacentral:rRNA from 1 species
UGCCAGCAGCCGCGGUAAUACAGAGGUGGCAAGCGUUGUUCGGUAUCACUGGGCUUAAAGGGCGCGUAGGCGGCAUGGUACGGUUCGGGUGAAAUCCCUCGGCUUAACCGAGGAACUGCCCGGGCAACGGCCAAGCUAGACAGCAUCAGGGGAAGGUGGAACUCGCGGUGGAGCGGUGAAAUGCGUAGAUAUCGCGAGGAACGCCGGUGGCGAAAGCGACCUUCUAGGGUGCUUGUGACGCUGAGGCGCGAAAGCUAGGGGAGCGAACGGGAUUAGAUA